CGCGUAGGCGGCCUGCUAAGUCACACGUGAAAUCCCUCGGCUCAACCGGGGAACUGCGUGUGAUACUGGCGGGCUUGAAUUCGGGAGAGGGAUGUGGAAUUCCAGGUGUAGCGGUGAAAUGCGUAGAUAUCUGGAGGAACACCGGUGGCGAAGGCGGCAUCCUGGACCGAGAUUGACGCUGAGGCGCGAAAGCUAGGGUAGCAAACG
rnacentral:rRNA from 1 species